rnacentral:rRNA from 1 species
AUACGGAGGGUGCGAGCGUUAAUCGGAAUUACUGGGCGUAAAGGGUCCGUAGGCGGUCUGCUCAGUCUGAUGUGAAAGCCCCGGGCUCAACCUGGGAAUGGCAUUGGAUACUGGCGGACUAGAGUCUGGUAGAGGGUGGUGGAAUUCCCGGUGUAGCGGUGAAAUGCGUGGAUAUCGGGAGGAACACCAGUGGCGAAGGCGGCCACCUGGACCAAGACUGACGCUGAGGGACGAAAGCGUGGGGAGCAAACAGGAUUAGAAACCCUAGUAGUCC